GAUGAACGCUGGCGGCGUGCCUAAUACAUGCAAGUCGAGCGAACGGACGAGAAGCUUGCUUCUCUGAUGUUAGCGGCGGACGGGUGAGUAACACGUGGAUAACCUACCUAUAAGACUGGGAUAACUUCGGGAAACCGGAGCUAAUACCGGAUAAUAUUUUGAACCGCAUGGUUCAAUAGUGAAAGACGGUCUUGCUGUCACUUAUAGAUGGAUCCGCGCUGCAUUAGCUAGUUGGUAAGGUAACGGCUUACCAAGGCAACGAUGCAUAGCCGACCUGAGAGGGGGAUCGGCCACCCUGGAACUGAGACCCGGUCCAGACCCCGAGGGAAGGCAGAGGAGGGGAAUCUGCGGCAAUGGGCGAAAGCUGGACGGAGCACCGCGGCUGGGGGGAGGAAGGGCUUCGGAUCGUAAAACUCUGUUAUUAGGGAAGAAAAUUUGUGAAAGUAACUGGGCACAUCUUAACGGUACCUAACCAGAAGGCAACGGCAAACUACUU
rnacentral:rRNA from 1 species